GCCUGGCUGGCUCAGUCGGUGGAACGUGUGACUCUGGAUCUCAAGGUUGUGGGUUCGAGCCCCACAUUGGGUG